rnacentral:rRNA from 1 species
GCCUAUGGCCAGAUGGGACUGAUUGUAUGCGAUCUGGGAAGCUAAGUAGUCCCGGGCCCAGUUCGUACCUGGAUAGGAGACUGCCUGGGAAUUCAGGGGGCUGUAGGCU